UUAAUUGAAGAGUUUGAUCAUGGCUCAGAUUGAACGCUGGCGGCAGGCCUAACACAUGCAAGUCGAACGGUAACAGGGAGCAGCUUGCUGCUCUGCUGACGAGUGGCGGACGGGUGAGUAAUGUCUGGGAAACUGCCUGAUGGAGGGGGAUAACUACUGGAAACGGUAGCUAAUACCGCAUAACGUCUACGGACCAAAGUGGGGGACCUU
rnacentral:rRNA from 1 species